GCACAUAAAAUUUUAAAUGUUAUAUAUAAAAGUACAUAGAAUUUUAACAGCUUUAAUGAAUCCGCUUUAAUUUAUUUAUAAAAUGUAUUCGACUAUAUUAACAUUAUAAUCAAAUGUUAUACUACGGCAAUUAAAUUAAAUGCAUAAAGGUGACUUCGUUUUUUACUAUAUUAAAGCCGUGCAUUAUUUCGAUUGUAUUUAAAUCUUAUUUUUCAUUUAAACCUCUCUUUUAUUAAAUCAGUCGCCUCGUCUCGCAUUAGUGAAUUUUCAAUUAACCCAAUUAAUUACCGCUUAAUGCUACAUUAAUUCCAGCCCUAUGUUUUUUUUUUUGCGCGGGAUAUGAGGUGUCGGGCUUCUCCUCUUCCCUCAUUCUUCUUCUCAUUCUACUGCUUAACACUCCUUGGCGUUUUCUUCCGGCUUUUCGUUUCUUCACGCGAAAGAUGAGAGGUCAUCGGGCUCCUCCUCUUCACAAUUCUUCUUCUCAUUCUUAAUAUUUAUAUCUCUUGUGCAGAACAGUAGAUAGGGUCGGACGACUCGCAUCGUCAAUCCGAGGAGCCCAGUGUGGUCCUCCAUGCAUCUGGGUCCUCAUGAUCCACUUUCUCAUUAGCUUCACCCAAAGGUUAACAAUCGAGUUUGCUUACAGAUUAAGCUGUUGUGGAUCUGAGAUAGAUUUUCGGCACUUUCCUCACCAUCUCCAUGUUCGCAAAUAUGGGGAAUAUGAUCAAGAGGGAUCAUUUCGAUGCCUUAAAGUUUUUGUGCUGUCGGCUUGUCCAUUGUUCUCAAAGGCUUGGAUUGAAGUUUCUGGAUCAUUAGUAAGGGAUGUGACUAAGCAGUUUAAGGUAUGGGUGAAUAUAUCCUUCAUUUCUUUCUGGUCCUAUUUUCUUAUUAUAUACUAAUAGCAAAUGAAUCCAACUGGUUAUUUUCUGUGCAUAGCAUUGUUUGCUCGGCCUAAAAAUUAAAUCGAUAUACUUUUCCAUUUCCAUUGUUCCUUUUUUUUUAGAAACUCUAUGGUUGAGAGGUUUUAUGUUUCUAUGAUCACUAUUUUCUAUGCUAAUUGAGGACUAUUUUAUAUAUUAUAUAUCUUUAAGAAACGUUAUAUAGAGAUUUUUCAUAUAUUAUCUUAAAUGAAUGACUUGAUAUCAGAUAUUUAAAAACUGUCCUGCCAUAUAUGAUCAAAUGUUGUAUUCAUACAAGAUAUUUAAAAAUGGUCGUUAUCUAUGGUCUAAUGUUAUAUUCUUUAAUUGCCAUAUUUAAUUUUUGACAACUUAAAUGCCUGUACAUGAUCUUUGAAUGCCUAUUUUGAAUCAAGAUUGUGACAAGUUAUAAUGCAGUUCUAAGGACGCGUUUUACCUUUUAUCUCUUGUUUUCUGAAGCUUUAAUUUUUCCUAAAUAACAACGACAUUUGUUUAUAAUUGGCAUUGACUUUGGUAUUCAUAAAUUGAAGUUUCUUGACCUAUAACUUCCUGGGCCAUUUCACCUUAAAUCCUUCUAGGUCGUGUUCUUACAAGUAAGAUGUGGUUUGUCCCGUGCUGGGAAUGCUUAGCUAUAAUGCGAAGAACGAUGGUUGGUUUAUCCUCAACAAGAAAGCACAAAACUGUCUUUAUAAAGGACAGAGGUCUUUAGAUGUUUCAAAGUUACUUCAAGAUAAAAUAAGCAACCUAAUGGAAACUGCCUUAGUCUUCGAAACAUGGGCAUACUAACAUGAAUAAUGUCAAGGCCCAGCAUGUUCACCGGGAUUAUAAUUUAUUUCUUUCACGGUUGCAAUUAUUGCUUCUUACCUCAAAGGUACUCAACUACUCGUUUUUGUUAUGCUCAUUGCAUAAUUUCUCCGUUUAUUUUUCUUUGGAAGGAGCUCAUUCAACAUUGUAUGGUAUAGAUAUUGGAUGAGGAAGUGAGUGUGAAGUUCAGGUAUUGGUGAUUUCAUUCCUAUAAAGGAUAGAAGUUUAUAGAACUUGAAAUUCACAAUUUGUUAAUAAAGUUCAGCUUUAUUAA